AAUGCGAAGUGGAACAAGAGGAGUUCAAGUUCCAGAAGAGGCCGUCCCUAUCCUCUGGUUUCGAGGGCAGCAGAAGCCCCGCCCACGCCGUAUGCUUCCGGUUGGAGCCCAGGUCCACCCUCCGGAUUCAGGGGCUGGCAACCACACCUAGCUCCCUCCCCCUGCAACCCCGCACCCCGCCUGGUAAAAGUCCAGCCCAUCUGCUGUCUGCUGCCCCACCUCCUCCGGCACCACCCCGUGCAAGCUCAGCGCCACCCAGCCCUGCACCCACCCCCAGCAUUCCACCGUCGGGUGUCCGUUGGAAGGCAGGUCUGGAAGCUCUUAGCCCAGCAUCAAACAGAGUGCUCUAGGAGCUGAGGGGAGGGCUGAAGGGCAGAGAGCAAGCAAGACAGCAGGCCUCCUUGUUACGGCAAGAAAUUGUAUUUUAUUUAUAUAUGUUAUGUCUCACUGCUCAGCAACCAGGCUCGGGGGGGGAGAGGAAGAGGUCUCCUGCUGCAGUGGGCUAGGGUGACUCAUCCCUGCACACUCUGGCCUCUGGCCCUAGGUUAGCAGACUCAUGAUAACGCCAGCGUGGACGCCAGCUGCUCUCUGGGCUGUGGAAUUCCAAGGCUUGGCACAGCACUGGCUUGCAGCUUCUCACCUGAGCAGGAGAUAACAGGGAGCUUGGACAAUAGUAGCUCCAGGCCCAGCGCAAACCCUUUUGGGGAGCCACAGAGCCCCAGGAGGAGAACAGAGCGGUGCUGCCUCCAGGCCUAAGCUGCCCAUGUUGAGAGGCUGUGCUUCUCCUUCGUGCUGCCGCCUGGAGACUGAUCCCCGGAGCUGCCCACCCUGCCCCUCUCCUUCCCACACCGCCCUGUGGCCAGCCUACUUCCUGCAUUUCCAUUUAACCAAGGAAACCCUUUAAAGAAGAGAGGAUCAGCCUGAUGCCAUGGCAUGAAGUCCUCCCACCCGCAGCUCUGCUCCUGUAAGCCCACAUCCCACUCAUUCCUGGGAUCAGUCCAAUGUGAUAGCAGUUCACUAGUUUUCUUCCCAGUAAAAAGCAUCUGAGCAUGGAAUACUCAAGAUUUUACUUACUAGCAGCAGUAGGCUUUAGGUUUGUAAGAAUUCGUCUCCAGCUCUCCAGAAAUAUCCACUCAUUUGUGUGCAAGGGCUGAUUGUAGUAAAAUAUGCUAUGGGCAUGUUUUGCACCUGUAAGUUCAUCAUGCAGGACACCCAUGUCUAAGAUGUCCAACCUUUAAACAUUUCAGAACACUUUGGAUGUCACAGGUUAAACCUCCUUCUUCCAUUAGGGAAACUGGCUUUAAGGCGCAGAGAUCAGCUGGACAUAGUAGGUAUGCCUGCAGUCCCAGCACUCUGGGAGACUGAGGCAAGGUGAUGGGGAGUUUGAGCCCAAGCUGGGCAACUUGGUGAUUUAGCAAAACCCUAUCUCAAAAUUUAAAAAGGGCUGGUAAGCCAGGCCUGUUGGCACAUACCUGUAAUUCCUAUACUUGGGAGGCUGAGAUAGGGGGAUCACUGUGAGUUCCAGGCCAGCCUGAACUACAUAGGGAGAUCCUAUGUCCAAGACCCAAAAAUAAAUAAAUAAAUAAAUAAAUAAAAUAAAAAGGGGCUGGUGAGUUAGCUCAUCGCAAAGGCCCUAGGUUCAUUCUUCAGUACUUUGAAAGUGAAG
ensembl:lncRNA